rnacentral:rRNA from 1 species
UGGGGAGUAUUGCACAAUGGGGAGGACCCUGAUGCAGCGACGCCGCGUGGACGAAGAAGUAUUUCGGUAUGUAAAGUCCUAUCAGCAGGGAAGAAGAAAUGACGGUACCUGACUAAGAAGCCCCGGCUAACUACGUGCCAGCAGCCGCGGUAAUACGUAGGGGGCAAGCGUUAUCCGGAUUUACUGGGUGUAAAGGGAGCGCAGGCGGCAGCCCAAGUCUGAUGUGAAAGCCCGGGGACCCCAACCCGGGCACUGCAUUGGAAACUGGGCAGCUGGAGUGCCGGAGGGGUAAGCGGAAUUCCUAGUGUAGCGGUGAAAAUGCGUAGAUAUUAGGAGGAACACCAGUGGCGAAGGCGGCUUACUGGACGGCAACUGACGCUGAGGCUCGAAAGCGUGGGGAGCAAACAGGAUUAGAUACCC